rnacentral:rRNA from 1 species
UACGUAGGGAGCAAGCGUUGUCCGGAAUCAUUGGGCGUAAAGCGCGCGUAGGCGGCCUCGUAAGUCCGUUGUGAAAGUCAAAGGCUCAACCUUUGAAAGCCGAUGGAUACUGUGAGGCUAGAGUCCGGAAGAGGCGAGUGGAAUUCCUGGUGGUAGCGGUGGAAUGCGCAGAUAUCAAGGAGGAACACCAAUAGCGAAGGCGGCUCGCUGGGACGGUACUGACGCUAAGGCGCGAAAGCGUGGGGAGCGAACAG